rnacentral:lncRNA from 10 species
CUGUGUGACUCCAUUUAGGUAAAGUUCAGAAAGAGGAAAAAGUACUCUGUGGUAUUAGAGGCUAAGAUCAUGGUUACCUUAAUUAAACGAGGCAGUGAGGAGGGAGGCAGUGAGUGGAAGAGGAUACAGGGAAGGCCCUGUGUUCUCUUUCUCGGUUGCAUUUCUUUUUUUUUUUUUUUUUUUUUUUUUUUUGAGAUGGAGUCUUUCUCUGUCACCCAGGCUGGAGUACAGUGGUGCAAUCUUGGCUCACUGCAACCUCCGCCUCCCAG